AAGUACAGUGUACAUUUUUACUUUUUUUUUUUGUUUGUUUUCAGUGGGAUAUGUUUGAAAUACAGCAACAUUGUAGUGAGAAUGUGGAAUUUAACUUGAUGCACGAGGGUGGAGCCGUGAGAGCUAAUGAAGGAGCUGUAUCUAGCGAAGAUAAAGUCCCAAUCACCAGACGCCGGUUGCCUGUGGAGAGACGACGGUGAUGGCUGCCAAACCGAUUCUGGGCGGGUUGAUGCAGAGGAGGUGACUGCUGGUGCCCGUGUCUGGUGCAGACUACUCUGCUCCUUGGUGAACAGCCCUAAAGCCAUAGAUUUCAUUUGAUCUUUGCAAAGGCUAACAUCUGUCUGCUGUCAUUUUAGUAAGAUUGAUGACAGGCUGGGAUAGGGAAGGAGGAGGGGGAGUGCAGCGGGAGGAAGGCAAGUCUCAGCAGCCCCAGCGGCUGUGGCCAAGCCUGCCCGGAGUCACUGGCCCGGGCCCUCUGGUCGGCUGAGGCAGUGGCUGGAAGCCGCUCCUGUGCUGCUCUGGCAGUAACUGCACUGGGAUGUUACAGAGGAUUGCAGGAACUCAAAGACAUAAAGGCAGCAUUUUGCACCUUAUAUAUCUUARUAGAUUAUUCACAUUGCAAGCAACACAGAGCUAAAUGUUAUGACAACCAUAAGAAUGUAGUUUACUGUGGCUUAAUGUGGCUGGGCAGUGCAGGGUAAAGCUAUCAAAAAAUAUAUUUAUUUUUUAAAGUUUCCAAGAGAAACUAACUCAUGUGGGCAUGCAGCUAUUUUCGUAUAAAACCCUGAAUUUUUGGCAAACACUUUGCAGGCUCUAAUAGAAAAUGCUUUCUCUUUUUAUUAGUAGUAGUAUCACAGUGCCAAACUAAAAAUGAUAUGCUUUCCCUCUUGGAAGCUCUCUCCAAGCUGUUGUCUGAGCUGAUGUAAUAGAGGAACCUUUAAAAAGGACACAUGUCCCAAAUAGGGAGGCCAGUUACUGGCCUCAGCCUGCAAUGUGCCUUGGAAAAAAUAGCUUUCAUACUUGGGCAGGAUGGAGUCCCUGUAUCUUUUUCCGUGAAUGAAU
rnacentral:lncRNA from 1 species